rnacentral:lncRNA from 1 species
AUAACAGAACUCAUAUGGCAGGCAAAAACCUGAUGAAAAAUCCUACCAGGAAGUGGAAAUCUGAUGGGUGGACUCAUUUCAAGUCAUUGCCUAUCGAACACACACUGACUAAGUAAUCAUUAUGUACUUCCUAAGGCUUCCACUAGAUGUCAACAGUCUUUAAAAAGUUGUUUGAGGCGUCUAUGAUGAACAGAGACCGAACAAGAAGGCUGGGAAGUUGAUGACCCAUCAGUUUAUUGGCACGCGUUCACGUGAGAGGUAGCUCUGUUCCAAAAAGUUUUUCAAGACACUGGUUUCGUCCGGUUGGAAUAUUACUGAAUUGUCACGUUCUAAAGGCCCUAAAGAUUGAUGUUUUACAAUGUUUGACAUGUUUGAACGAACAUAAAUAUAAUUUCUUUUGACUUUUCGUCGUGAAAUUUUCCGUGCGCUUCCUAGAUUUGGAGUAGCUGAACAGAACGGGCGAACAACAUGGAGUUAUUUGGACAUAAAAUAUGGAGUUUAUCGAACAAAACAACAUUUGUUGUGGACCUGGGAUUCCUGGAAGUGCCUUCUGAUGAAGAUCAUCAAAGGUAAGUUAAUAUUUAUAAUGCUAUUUAUGAUUUGAGAUGACUCCAAAAUGGCGGCUAUCUGUAUUGCGUAGUGUAUUUUUCUGAGCGCAGUACUCAGAUUAUUGCAAAGUGUGCUUUCCCAGUAAAGUUAUUUUGAAAACUGUCAAUGCGGUUGCAUAAAGGAGAUGUUCAGUUAUAAUUCUUUGAAUGACAGUUUAAUAUUUUAACAACGUUAUGACGAGUAUUUGUGUAAAUUGUAGUGCUGAUUCACCGAGGGAAAAUAUUUUCUGAACGUCAGGCGCCAAUAAAAAUGCUGUUUUUAGAUAUAAAUAUGAACUUUAUCGAACAAAACAUACAUGCAUGUAUUGUGUAACAUGAUGUCCUAGGAGUGUCAUCUGAUGUCCUAGGAGUGUCAUCUGAUGUAGACCAUCAAAGGUUAGUGCAUCAUUUAGCUGUGUUUUGGGUUUCUGUGACAUAUAUGCUUGAUUGGAAAAUGGCUGUGUGGUUAUUUGUGUCUAUGUACUCUCCUAACAUAAUCUAAUGUUUUGCUUUCGCUGUGAAGCCUUUUUGAAAUCGGACAACGUGGUUCGAUUCAGAAGUGUAUCGAUAAAAUGGUGUAAAAUAGUCCUACGUUUGAGAAAUUGAAAUGAUUCGAUUUGUGGUUUUGAAUCUGGCGCUCUGAUUUUUUCACUUGCUAUUAUCGAACUCAGUCCCGGUGACGGGAUCUGUAGUAGUAAGAAUUAACAGCGCGAUUUGCCAAGGCAGGAUAGUCUGAGCACAGCCCUAUACAGAAAUAUAGCAGUGGCUUCUGAUUAAAUUCAAUUUUCACAGAACCGCUUGUUGGAAUUUUGUUGAGGCUCUCUUGUUCAGAUAUCGGUAAGUGGACUGGAGGCAGGGCAUGAAAGGGAUAACAAAUCCAGUUGUUUGUGUUUUCCGUUUCGGGAAAGUACAUGCUUAAUUGUGCACCCAGCUCACUCAGGUGCUUCGCUACAUUACAUUUGACAUUGUCAAAAAUCAUACAAUGAUGGAAAGACCUCUGUGUUGUCCUUGUUAAUGCAGACAGAGAAGAGCUCCAACUUCUUAAUCAUAGCCUCAAUUUUGUCCCGCAUACUGAAUAUAGUUGCAGAGAGUACCUGUAAUCCUAGAUUCAGAUCAUUCAGGGGAGAAAAAACAUCAGCCAGAUAGGCCAGGGGUGAGUAACUCAUCAUCAUGCAAGCGGUCAGACAAGUAAAAAUGAUGGUCAGUAAAGAAAACUUUAAGCUCGUCUCUAUUAAAAAAAAACGUCUCAAUACUUUGCCCCUUGAUAACCAGCACACUUCUGUAUGUUGUAAAAGCUUUACAUGAUCGCUGCCCUUAUCCUGUUUAGGAUAGGGGGCAGUAUUUUCACGGCCGGAUAAAAAACGUACCCGAUUUAAUCUGGUUAUUACUCCUGCCCAGAAACUAGAAUAUGCAUAUAAUUGUUUGAUUUGGAUAGAAAACACCCUAAAGUUUCUAAAACUGUUUGAAUGGUGUCUGUGAGUAUAACAUAACUCAUAUGGCAGGCCAAAACCUGAGAAGAUUGCAUACAGGUGUGCCCUCUCUGACCAUUUCUUGGCCUUCUAUAGCCUCUUUAUGGAAAAUAGAGGAUCUCUGCUGUAACGUGACAUUUUCUAAGGCUCCCAUAGGCUCUCAGAAGGUGCCAGAAUGGGGAAUGAUGACUCUGCAGUCCCUGGCUGAAAAACAGUAGCGCAUUUGGAUAGUGGUCGAUCUGAGAACAAUGAAACGGCAGCGCGUAUGCACGUGAAGAGUCCAUGUUACAUUUUCAGUCUUUGAACGAAAACAACGUCGCUCGGUUGGAAUAUUAUUGCUAUUUAUGAGAAAAAUCGCAUAAAAAUUGAUUUUAAACAGCGUUUGACAUGCUUCGAAGUACGGUAAUGGAAUAAUUGGAAUUUUUUUCUAACGAUAUGCGCCGGCGCGUCACCCUUCGGAUAGUGUCUUGAACGCAAGAACAAACGCAUCUAUUUGGAUAUAACUAUGGAUUAUUUGGAACCAAAACAACAUUUGUUGUUGAAGUAGAAGUCCUGGGAGUGCAUUCUGACGAAGAACAGCAAAGGUAAUAACAUUUUUGUUAUAGUAAAUCUGAUUUUGGUGAGUGCUAAACUUGCCGGGUGUCUAAAUAGCUAGCCCUUGAUGGCUGGGCUAUGUACUUAGAAUAUUGCAAAAUGUGCUUUCACCAAAAAGCUAUUUUAAAAUCGGACAUAUCGAGUGCAUUGAGGAGUUCUGUAUCUAUAAUUCUUAAAAUAAUUGUUAUGCUUUUUGUGAACGUUUAUCGUGAGUAAUUUUGUAAAUUGUUAGUAAAUUCCCCGGAAGUUUGCGGGGGGUAUGCUAGUUCUGAACGUCACAUGCUAAUGUAAAAAGCUGUUUUUUGAUAUAAAUAUGAACUUGAUUGAACAAAACAUGCAUGUAUUGUAUAACAUAAUGUCCUAGGGUUGUCAUUUGAUGAAGAUCAUCAAAGGUUAGUGCUGCAUUUAGCUGUCUUCUGGGUUUUUGUGACAUUAUAUGCUAGCUUGAAAAAUGGGUGUCUGAUUAUUUCUGGCUGGGUACUCUGCUGACAUAAUCUAAUGUUUUGCUUUCGCUGUAAAGCCUUUUUGAAAUCGGACAGUGUGGUUAGAUAAAAGAGAGUCUUGUCUUUAAA